AAAAAUUCGGCUAAUUCCGCCCAAAUCACCACGAAGCACACCGAAUGACCGAAGCCGCCAUGCUCUCAUCGUGUGUUCCCAAAUUUCUUUUCCCUCCAUCGUCCUCGAUCUGGAGGGAGUUUCGCUAGGAAACUCGUCCUCCAUUCGUCUGGGCAGAUUCAGUAGAUAGGCUUCCUCGAUCUAAAUUGUGAGAGAGAGAGAGAGAGAGAGAGAGAGAGAGAGAGUGAGAGACAUGAUGAUAGAGAGAGAGACAGAGUCUCACAGGCUCACAGCCCCCUCUCUUCUUCUACAUCACCACCAUCGAUCGAUCCAUGGUGAUAGAGAGAGACAGAGUCUCACAGCCCCCUCUCUUCCUCCCAUCUCUCUCUUUUUUUCCCCUUUUCUCUUUCUCCAUCUCCCCUCUCUCUUUCGUUCUCCGCCGCCUCUUCGGCGAUCUCCGAAUAAAGCGGCGAUCUAUUCAUAGCUCAAAGGGUGGAGGAUCCUAUCGAAGUCGCGAUGAGAUCCCGUGAUUUCCCAUCCGAUCGUCGGCUUUUUGAUGGGAUCGGAGCGAUCGUGGUGUUUCCUAAGCUGAUUCGAAAAGGUUUCUGGCGGAUUCAACACUUUUCUCUGAUUUCGAUCCAUGAGCACACCAUACUCGGUUGCAAGAAAACAAAUGGUGACAAAAACUACUUCUGAGGUUCAGGCAGUGGCAUGGAACCGGCAUUCCCCUGAAAUCCUACAAAUUGGAUCUUUCGAUCAAUCGGUUGCCAUGGUAAGGAAUUUUUAAUUACAAAAAUAAAUUUUAAUUACGA